UAGGUGGAAGCUGAAUUAGCGAGGAUGACUCCUGCUCCUGUCAUCUCUAAGCUCCUCACACAUCUUUGCCUGCACAUGAGGAAAAUCACUCCUGUAGAAUGCAGAUGUUCAGAGGGAGAUGAUGCCACAUCUGGUCCAGCUGAUGGAAGGUCUUGAAGUUCUCUGACUGGCCUCGACUGAAGAUGGUCGUCUCACUGGAUUUAAGGUUCAGAUGCUCAGUAACAAACUCCACCAAUGAGCCAACAGGGAAGCUUUAGGUUUAUUAAAUGUUGCUAUGAAGGCAUCGCUGUUUUUCUUUGUGAAUGCAAUGUGCUCCAACUGAAACUUGAAUUAGAACUUAGAAGUAAAUCCUUCCAUCCGAAAGGAUUUAGUUGCAUUAAUAACCUCAUAACAUUCUAAUUUUUAUUCCAGUCUUGGUUGAAAAUAGAAUCUCUGUAUUGAUUCAGGUAAAAACUGAACUUCACAGCAUGUUGAAGAAAAACAACCAGAUGAAAACUGUGAUGGUGUUGGAUUGUCAGACCGUAAUGUUGCAGCUCAAAGCAGCUUUUCUAGCUCAGUUCAUUCUGACAUUCAGCUAUGAAUCAACACAGCAGAUGGUGAUCCAUGCUGUGGAAGUCUCACAUCUCCUGAUUUAAUGGAGCUGCUUUACACUUUUUACACAGUUUAUUCACCAACACUUUAUUUAAUAAAAGUCCCAUCUAGUUUUUAUGAGGAAUGUGAUGUUUUAAUUUCUCUGUGAAUAACUGCAGUCUAAUGCAACAGCUGGAAUUGUAACAUCUGUCCUGAUAUUGAUCAUGAAGUAUUGAUCAGAAUACUUAUGGUCAGCAGUCAUCCCUAAAGUUUUAUAUUAAAAUCUUUACUUGUGUUGUGAACUUUGGUAAGAAGCAGAAAUGUUAGCGUUGCCAUGGAUACAAGUGUUAAAUUCUGUCCAUGUUUCCAUUUUGGGAAAUGCAGUCCAGUUCCAGAAUGUGGAGGAAUUUAGUCUCACAAUCACAGACAACAAAUAUUAUCUGAAAGUCGGGUUAUUGUUGUUUAUCAGCACAAUACAAAAAGAUUAAUGUUAGAAAUAUUCCAGUUAAGACUCUAGAAUAUCAUGAUUUAUGUAAAUAUACCUCAAUAAUAUGAAUGUUUAGGUUAAGAUUGUACAGUGAUAUUUAUUAUCUAAGUUUAGCUGAUUAAAGUUUAUGACUCUGCAAAUAAAUAAAUAAAUAAAUUGACAUCAUUAUUAUAAUAUUUAGGGUCAGACCCUACAGUAUUGAGAGUAAAAAAUCAAAUAUUCUAUAAAAUGUAAAUACACUGAACUCAUUUGGAUAUAUUUAAGUGAGACUCUACAAUAUUAUUUGACACAAAUCUAUCUAAAUCAAAAUUUUAAUAAUUUUCACGCCAAACGUUUACUGGACUGAUUUAAAUAUUAAAAUCACUCCUUUCUAAUCCUCUGCUGUACGUUCAAACCUGAGGCCUUAAAUAGAAACACACAAGUAUCUGAUUGAAGGAACUUCUGUAGAGUCCUGGUUCCAGAACAUGAUGAUAGAAUUAUAGACAAACUUUAACAAAAGCUGCCUGAGAGUUUACAGGUUUUUAUGUUAGAUUUCUUCAGUAAUUUAAUGAGAGUUAUCAGCAAAAAUCGUGUUCAUUUGAUGAACUUCAUUUCCUAAAACAUCCAGAAUUGGAGCUCAUAUCUUUGGCAGCUGUAAAGUUUCUGCUCCUUCAAAGUUCACAACACAAUGAAUAAAUUCCUAAAACACUCUCAGUGCUGGAGAGCGUUUGUGAUGCUGAAGCAGUGAUCAGUUUUUCUGUUUCUUCUCUGGAGAAGCACAAUGAGGGACGUCUGCAGAGACUGAGAAAGAGUCUCACCACAUCCUGACAUGAGGAAAAAGACUUUACUGAAGACUACAAUGAGAAAAACUAUCAGACAGCAGACGGCAUGCAUUCAAGAGAGGAAGACCAUCAAACAUCCACGUCAGCUGAUGGAGGUCCAAGAGUCUCACUGAGCAAACAACCUACAGAGUGAAGACCUCGAAUCUGAUUGGACGGCCUCCUAUUCAGCCACAUUUUAGGCUGUUAGAUUGUUCCAGAUAAGACAAGUACAAGAUUCUUCAGAGCCGUUCUACCACGAGCCUGACAGGAAGAACUCCAACAGCUACUGAAUGUUCCUGUGGUUCCCUCAAGGCUACAGGAGGAGCCCUACGAGGACGAGCCGGUCCACCUGAUGGCGGCCAGUCGCUGCGGUUCAAAGCCAACACCGACUACGUGGACUUCUACUGGACCACACGGAGGCCUUCAAACCGGACCAACAAGUUCAGCGACUCCCCGACUCGUGGGUCUGAGGACGCUGCCGAGCCUCGGUCCAGCCGGCCUCCUGUCUGUGGGUGUUUGAGUGCUGAGAGGUUUGUGGAUGCAUGUGAACAUGUCUGUGUUGAAACAGCAGCUUUGGACUCAAUAACACUGCUAAAAACCAAGAGCUCCCUUAUUUGUGACUUCCACUAAAAAACUGAUGAAAAUAAGUUUGCCAGGGUUCUGACUGAUAACAGGUUAUUAAAUAAUGAAAAUAA